UACGGAGGGUGCGAGCGUUGUCCGGAAUCACUGGGCGUAAAGGGCGCGUAGGCGGUUUGGUAAGUCACUUGUGAAAUCCCGGCGCUCAACGCCGGGGCUGCAGGUGAGACUGUCAGACUAGAGCUCGGUAGAGGCAAGUGGAAUUCCCGGUGUAGCGGUGAAAUUCGUAGAUAUCGGGAGGAACACCGGUGGCGAAGGCGGCGACCUGGGUCGAUACUGACGCUGAGGUGCGAAAGCGUGGGGAGCAAACAGG
rnacentral:rRNA from 1 species